CCCCUCUCUGCCCCCCCUCAGCUGGGUGCUUGCUCUCUUUUCCCUGUCUCUCCUCUCUUCUCCUCUAUCACUCCCUCGCUCCUCUCUUCUCCUCUAUCGCUUCCUCGCUCCUCUCUUUACCUGUAUCGCUCCCUCGCUCCUCUUCACCUUUAUCGCUCCCUCGCUCAUCUCUUCUCCUCUCUUCUCCUCUAUCGCUCCCUCACUUCUCUUCUCUUCUAUCGCUCCCUCGCUUCUCUCUUCACCUCUAUCGCUCCCCCGCUCCUCUCUCCUCCUCUAUCGCUCCCUCGCUCCUCUCUUCACCUCUAUCGCUCCCUCGCUCCUAUGUUCUCCUCUAUCGCUCCCUCACUCCUCUCUUCACCUCUAUCGAUCCCCCGCUCCUCUUAUCUUCUAUCGCUCCCUCGCUCCUCUCUUCUCCUCUAUCGCUCCCUCGCUCCUCUCUUCACCUCUAUCGCUCCCUCGCUCCUAUGUUCUCCUCUAUCGCUCCCUCACUCCUCUCUUCACCUCUAUCGCUCCCCCGCUCCUCUUCUUUUCUAUCGCUCCCCCACUCCUCUUCUCUUCUAUCGCUCCCUCGCUCCUCUCUUCUCCUCUAUCGCUCCCUCACUCAUCUCUUCACCUCACUUCCUCGCUCCUCUCUUCACCUCUAUCGCUCCCUCGCUCCUCUCUUCUCCUCUAUCGCUCCCUCACUUCUCUCUUCUCCUCUCUUCUCCUCUAUCACUUCCUCGCUCCUCUCUUCACCUCUAUCGCUCUCUCGCUCCUCUCUUCUCCUCUAUCGCUCCCUCGCUCCGCUUUUCACCUCACUCACUCGCUCCUCUCUUCUCUUCUAUCGCUCCCUCGCUCCUCUUUUCACCUCACUCCCUCGCUCCUCUCUUCUCCUCUAUCGCUCCCUCGCUCUUCUCUUCACCUCUAUCGCUCCUCUCCUCACCUCUAUCGCUCCCUUGCUCCUCUCUUCUCCUAUAUCGCUCCCUCGCUCCUCUCUUCUCCUCUAUCGCUCCCCCGAUCCUCUCUUCUCUAUCGCUCCCUGGCUCCUCUCUUCUCUUCUAUCGCUCCCUCGCUCCUCUCUUCACCUCACUCCCCCGCUCCUCUCUUCUCCUCUAUCGCUCCCUCGCUCUUCUCUUCACCUCUAUCACUCCCUCGCUCCUCUCUCCUCCUCUAUCACUCCCUCGCUCAUCUCUUCACCUCACUCACUCGCUCAUUUUGGAUUUGUUUUUAGAUUCUUUGCAUGCAGAGCAUUUAGGUUGAUUUGGUUUAAUUGGCUGCCAGCAUAUUGUACUAUUGGCC
rnacentral:lncRNA from 1 species